AGUGAACGCUGGCGGUAGGCCUAACACAUGCAAGUCGAACGGCAGCACAGUAAGAGCUUGCUCUUACGGGUGGCGAGUGGCGGACGGGUGAGGAAUACAUCGGAAUCUACUUUUUCGUGGGGGAUAACGUAGGGAAACUUACGCUAAUACCGCAUAUGAUCUACGGGUGAAAGCAGUGGAUCUUCGGACCUUGCGCGAUUGAAUGAGCCGAUGUCGGAUUAGCUAGUUGGCGGGGUAAAGGCCCACCAAGGCGACGAUCCGUAGCUGGUCUGAGAGGAUGAUCAGCCACACUGGAACUGAGACACGGUCCAGACUCCUACGGGAGGCAGCAGUGGGGAAUAUUGGACAAUGGGCGCAAGCCUGAUCCAGCCAUACCGCGUGAGUGAAGAAGGCCUUCGGGUUGUAAAGCCCUUUUGUUGGGAAAGAAAAGCAGCAGGUUAAUACCCCGCUGUUUUGACGGUACCCAAAGAAUAAGCACCGGCUAACUUCGUG
rnacentral:rRNA from 1 species